rnacentral:rRNA from 1 species
GUGGGGAAUAUUGGGCAAUGGGCGCAAGCCUGACCCAGCAACGCCGCGUGAGGGAAGAAGGUUUUCGGAUUGUAAACCUCUGUCGCAGAUGACGAAGGAAGUGACGGUAAUCCGUGAGGAAGCCCCGGCUAACUACGUGCCAGCAGCCGCGGUAAUACGUAGGGGGCGAGCGUUGUCCGGAAUUACUGGGCGUAAAGGGAGCGUAGGCGGUCGAUUAAGUUGGAUGUGAAAUACCCGGGCUUAACUUGGGGGGUGCAUCCAAUACUGGUUGACUAGAGUACAGGAGAGGAAAGCGGAAUUCCUAGUGUAGCGGUGAAAUGCAUAGAUAUUAGGAGGAACAUCGGUGGCGAAGGCGGCUUUCUGGACUGACACUGACGCUGAGGCUCGAAAGCGUGGGGAGCAAACAGGAUUAGAUACCCGGGUAGUCC